rnacentral:lncRNA from 1 species
UGGAACUCAAUGAGCAUUGUGGUCCUUUUCAACCCAGGCUGUUCUAUGGUGUAUGCUCAGAAGAGAUGAGUGUUUAGCUCCAGACAGUGGAUGUACGUCUGUGUGUGUGUGUGUGUGUGUGCUGCUACCAUAUGUUUUAAGCUGGCAUAAGGCCAGGACCAUAUGUCUCUGUAGAGUCUGUAUCCCCGCGUGAGUAUGUAAAAAGCCAGGCUGUGUUCACGUUGUAGAAGCCAGCCCUGGACGUGAGCUGUUACGGGGACCUCUGAUUUAUACGACCUCCUCUCUUGGUGGCUCUUUGUGUGGGAUCUCUGUGUGAGGCAAAGCCUGGAAUUGGUGAUGGAUGGCUAUGGAGGGCUGCAAGGACAGAGCUGUGCCUGUGAUCCCCCAGCUGGCACAGGCUCCUGUGUGGCAUUACAGAAAUGUCACAGGCUGUUGCUUCUGGUGCCCUUGUUUGUGUGUGGAGAGUUUAAUAGGCUGCCCUUUGCCUCCCAGCAGACCCAGUUCUUUUCUGUUCCCUCACUCAGUGCUUUUCAGCCAAGAGACCAUCUCGGACCAGAUGAACUUUGGGAUGGAGAUUGUCCCUCCUCCAUUCUUCUGGUGGACUCUUUAUUGACCUUCCUGUGGGGAAGCAUUCUAUUAGGGGGGUCUUUGACCCACCCUCCAAGAAAAGCAGGAGACACGGUGAAGCCUGUGCUGGUGGCAGUCACAAGAAGAGCUGUCUGUGCUCAGGUGGCUUCCAGGGCUGUCUGUGCUCAGGGAAAGCUGCCCGCCUGCACAGCGGUACCCACCUCUGAAUAGUUUGCUAUUCUGGGCCCUGUGCAAUUUGGAGACUGACAACUUACCUUAACUGUUGGAGCACCAACCACUUCACAGAGCUCUCCCAGGCACUGCAGUCCCUGCUUCCUGCAUGGAAAGCAUCACCGAUACCAAGCAGGUGGAGAGGGUGGCCUUUCAUAGGAUCAUAGCCUUCAGGACUCUGGGGUGCCACAACUCCUGUUUGAAACAUAUAAUUGCUGUGGCAUUCAGUGCAACUGACGACAGGGAAGCUCGAACCUGGCAACUGCUACCUUAAAAAGUAAUAGAAGAAGGAAGCAAAAACCCCUGGGGAAGCUAUGCAUACAUAGCAAAGGAGGAGCAAUGGGCUUGCAUUGGUAAACUGCUCCAUAGGGCACCCAUUCAGUGCUAUAAAGAAGGCAUCCAGGCUGUGUGUUUCCCAGCUCCUGCAGCGGUAGGAUGGACCAUGAGUGUGCAUAGGAAGGUGCGUGAAGGCAGGCUAUGCUUUCCUGGGCCAGUUCUCUCCCUCUGAGGCUGCUCCGUGCAGAGCCAGCAGUGUGUGCAGCACUGACCAACGUGGUAUUUGAGAGCUUGAGAUCUCACCGUCUACUUUCUCUUUCCAAUUGCCCUCCCACUGUUGUUCUACAGCAUGCGGUGCCUUCAGCCGUGGUUCAGCUGCCAAAGAAGGUGGGGGAGUGCUGUGCUCCCCAGCUCCAUGCGGACCGGGAGAGAGGCAGAGAAACAGAGGAGGCAGGUGCUAUUCUGCAGGUAAUGAAAGCGAUCAGCUGGCUGCCCAUGCAGCACAGCCCUCCUGCCCUCCCCAGUCCUGCUCCCUGCCUUGCCAGGAGCGCACUUGGGUAGAAAGGUCUGAAAAAUCAGGACAGCUUCUAUUCUAUGGGAACAAAAGGUUUCCUUUGUUGUAAUUCCUCUGUUGGGCUCUGCACGAGGCCCUCGCAUGGGGCCCUGCAGCACGUGCCCUGCAUCAUGGGGACAAAAGCAGAUUACUGCAGGGAUGCCUGAAAAGGAGCCAUGACUUGUUCCCUUGUUGCUACAAUCUUGUUUACAGGCUGAGCUUCGCAGGGAGCAAUUCACACAGGUUUCUUUUGCAUUAUAAUAGUAAAGAUUUUUCUUGGUGGGAGAAAAAAAAGAGGAGAGAGGGUGAGGUGAGGAUUUAUCACAGAGCCUUGCCUGAAAUGAUUUAGGCUGUUAAGACCAUUUAUGCUGAAGGAAGUGAUCAGUUUCUGCUUCCCAAACGUCGUCUCCCAGUGCCGUGGGCCUGAUUCAGCAGGGCAGCUCCAUGUGAAGAGAAACGAAGUUGAUGAAGUAUUAGGAGGAGAUGACGGCAGCUAAAGGGGAGUUCAGUGGUUGUCCUUCACUUUUGUCUUCUGUCUUUUCAAGCUUAAGGCAGCAACUUCCAAAAUUCUUCGUGAGCCAAUCAGAGCACUGAUGGAGGGAACACCUUCAGCCACUGCACCUUAACAGCCACCUCGAGUGGCCCUGUGCUGGGUUUUUAAUCAUAUGAUGGCUUUUAAUUGAUGCUUUCUGUAAUAAACGAGGGGCUGCUGUGUUUUCACUGGGUUAUUCACUUGCUUCUGUAGUAGCUUUCAGUUGCAUGAUGCACAAACGGAGUGCAGCCUUCAGAAGUGACCCGUGGGACUUGAGGGCUGAUCCACCGCUACUGAAACGGUAGGACCAAAUUCUGCUGCCUGCUGGAUGCUGGGCCUCAAAGCAGGGGUGCAGAGAGGUGUAGAAAGCAGCAGUGCUCCCUGCUGAGCUCCGUGCAUGGGGCUGCUGCUCAUGGCUGGUGGGACAAAGCACUGCAGUGCAGACUGUGCUGCUGAACGCCAACAUAGGCUGAGCACUGGGGGGGCUGCAGCUCCUUUGAGGGCAGGUAGAGGACUUCCAUUUUAUUUUACUUUCCUUUCCCCUUUCCCCUCCUUUCCUUUUUCCUUACCGUUUUCCUUUCCCCUCCUUUCCUUU